rnacentral:rRNA from 1 species
GACGUAGGGCGCGAGCGUUGUCCGGAUUUAUUGGGCGUAAAGAGCUCGUAGGCGGCUUGUCGCGUCGUCCGUGAAAACCUGGGGCUCAACCCCAGGCUUGCGGUCGAUACGGGCAGGCUCGAGUUCGGUAGGGGAGACUGGAAUUCCUGGUGUAGCGGUGAAAUGCGCAGAUAUCAGGAGGAACACCGGUGGCGAAGGCGGGUCUCUGGGCAGUAACUGACGCUGAGGAGCGGAAGCGUGGGGAGCGAACAGG